rnacentral:rRNA from 1 species
UACGGAGGGGGCUAGCGUUGUUCGGAAUUACUGGGCGUAAAGCGCACGUAGGCGGCUUUUUAAGUCAGGGGUGAAAUCCUGGAGCUCAACUCCAGAACUGCCUUUGAUACUGAGAAGCUUGAGUCCGGGAGAGGUGAGUGGAACUGCGAGUGUAGAGGUGAAAUUCGUAGAUAUUCGCAAGAACACCAGUGGCGAAGGCGGCUCACUGGCCCGGUACUGACGCUGAGGUGCGAAAGCGUGGGGAGCGAACAGG